UACGGGGGGGGCAAGCGUUGUUCGGAAUUACUGGGCGUAAAGGGCUCGUAGGCGGCCAACUAAGUCAGACGUGAAAUCCCUCGGCUUAACCGGGGAACUGCGUCUGAUACUGGAUGGCUUGAGAUUGGGAGAGGGAUGCGGAAUUCCAGGUGUAGCGGUGAAAUGCGUAGAUAUCUGGAGGAACACCGGUGGCGAAGGCGGUUCUCUGGGAAUGUUCUGACGCUGAGGAGCGAAAGCGUGGGGAGCGAACAGG
rnacentral:rRNA from 1 species